UACAGAGGUCCCAAGCGUUGUUCGGAAUCAUUGGGCGUAAAGGGCGUGUAGGCGGUUUGUUAAGUCAUGUGUGAAAUCCCUCGGCUCAACCGGGGAAGGACGCAUGAAACUGGCAAGCUAGAGUACCAAAGAGGGGGGUGGAAUUCCUGGUGUAGCGGUGAAAUGCGCAGAUAUCAGGAGGAACACCGGUGGCGAAGGCGGGUCUCUGGGCCGAUACUGACGCUGAGGAGCGAAAGCGUGGGGAGCGAACAGG
rnacentral:rRNA from 1 species